UUAGCUCACUUUAUCACCAGAGAUGCCGAGGACGUUUAUGAAGACACACACAUAAUUAAUGCAGAUAACUCAUUAAUUUAUGAGCCAGCUAAUCGAUACUGAGGUUAAUCUACUUAGGCAUCUGAAGAAUCACCGUGUAUCUCUCUAUUUACACUGCUGUUUGCCUUGACUCCACAUCAUCAGGUUUUUGGCGGCUGUGAAGCUGACAGUGUUGGUCACCACGUAGAGAGACGAUGGAUUAAUUUCUGCCAACGUGAUCUUCUUCCAGUGUACAGAUGGCAUAUUAAUAGCCCACAACUAGAAGCUGGCAUUUCUCAUCAGGAGAAAAGGGAGGAUCCUGGUGUCUUGAGAAUGCUAGGUGCGCAGUGCUUGUUUGACGAAUGAAUGAAGAAUGACCACAGGCAUUAAUGGAUGAGUCCAACUGACCCUUCCUUUCAUGACUCAAGAGCUUUCCCAGGAGGUGGAGAGUGUAUGCCAGUUGGCUCAGGGUGCCCAUUUUCUCCGACCUGUGUCUGGUUUGCAUCUCACAUGGAGCCAUCUGCUGAGCUCCAAGGCUCUGCUCCCUCACCCCUCAGGGGCACCAUGUCAUGGCACGUUGAGACCCCAAUAUGGAAUCCACUCGGGGUGUGUUACCCUCAGAAGCCUAGGAAAAUGGUCUAGAACCCAAUGGACUGCCUGGAACACGCUGGCCUCGUCAGUGUCGAAGGCCAUGUUGGGGCCACCCAGAGGUACCUACAGAUUCACGGGCGGUUGUGAGAGAUGAUGCCGAGAGACGCCGUGUCCUCUUCACCUGGUUUCCCCCAAUGGCAGCAUCAUGGAAACCGUAGUGCAAAUUCAAUACCCGAUCUCCUCUGACAACACAGAGAGAGCACCGGGCGCACGCUCAGAGCCCUCCGUUGCGUGGCUA